UACGAGGUUAACCAAAUGCGACCGUUCCGUCUAGCAUCAAUACCCCUUACUAGAAUGACUUACUAAUGCAGAUGUAACCUGUGACCAUUCCUCCUCUUCAGACAUCACCUGACCUCAGUUUGACCUUGACCAUGACCACAUUUUGGACUUAGGUUGCUUUAUAUGGGCCAUCUCUUGGUUAACCAAAUGGGACCGUUUCGUCUAGCAUCAAUACCCCUUACUAGAAUGAAUUGAUACUAAUGCAGAUGUAACCUGUGACCAUUCCUCAUCUUCAGACAUCACCUGACCUCAACAGGGUUCUAGCCAGGCUAUUAUCGCCUGUCGCGUGCGACAUGCCUUCAGGCUUUGAGUUGUAUAUUCGACAUCCCUUAUUUCCCCCGUCAUCCCUUAAUUGCCAAAGCGACAUGUCUUAAACGCAUUCCAAUAAACACCUCGAUUAAUCCGAUAGUGUAUUUGAAAGUUUACCACGUGCUCACCCGAUAGUUCAGGUAAAGCGAUGUCAGUUAAGAUAUACGAUAAACCAGUGACAGCUUCCUACGUAGAAACGUGUGACGUAAAUUUCAUCGUAGCUCCGCCUUUAAAUCCUUUGACAGACGGUAUCUUGUGAUGUGUACAUGAAAGUGUUUUAAGAUUUUUUAUGUUAUCAGAAAGGUCUAUCAGAAAGUUACAGAUGACUUUCAACAAUUAUUGUCCGAAUGUUUUUCGCAAUCAAGAAAAGACAAUGAAAGGUACUAAGUCAAAAAUUGUGCAACACGUUAAAAUGAUUUUGAACAAUUCUCGGCGUAAUAUUAAUGUUUUUCUCAUGUAUGAAUUGUGUUUUCUCGGGUGGAAUAUCGAAAAGACCAUCAUGAAUGCCAGAAUUAAUGUUUUCUGUCGUCACUUUCAAAAUAGAACUUGUAGAGAAAAGUUUGAAAUAUUGUGGAUGUAUUACUUAAUUACUGAUAAUGCCUGGAAAUAAACGUAAAUCAGGGAGUGGGACAUUGUUAAAUAUGAACUGUUUCAAGAAGAACAGUGUUAGUGACUCAGUAAUAGAGGAGAGGAGACAGUGAGAUGUGAAAAGCGAGACGAAGCUGUGAAUGACAUUCUUCCUGGACCAGGUACACCAGAGAAAACGGUCACAAAUUCAGAAUCCCACCCAGCCACGCCAGAUGACCAAAGGAAAUCGGGCAUUGAUCCAAAAUGGAAACAAGCGUUUCCCUGGAUGACAGUUCUCAGAGAACGGCCAAGGUAUGUUGUGUUCAGUAUGUGUAAAGCACUAGAGAAGGCCAAAGAAGUGUACUUCAAUAAGGCGAUCAUCUUUAGUAAAUCAUAAGGACUCAGACUCGCACAAGAAAGCAGUGGUAUUUGACAUUGCAGAAGCAAAAACAGGUGGGGGGAUCGAGGCUUGUUUUGUGAGGGAAGAAAACAUGUGAACCGUGAGGCAAUUACAGCAUCUAUGACACUGCUUUACUUUCCUUGAUGGAGGAAAUUCCCCACACCACCAAACACAAACCUUUAGUUGAUGUAGCUAAGACAUUAGGAGUGGAUGUUCUAAAUAGUUUGGAGAAGGGGGAUAACGCCAAGUACACAAAAUUGAUAAGUUUACGUUGUCAUUCAGCAAAUAAAUUCCACAGGAACAGAAGACUGAAACUUUAAUGUGCAGUGCUAAAACUGUGUUGUUGUAAGUAAAAUAAAUAGUGAACAUUUUCAGAAACUUAAAAUGGUUAAGUUUACAUUGUCAUUCAGCAAACAAACUCCGGAGGAAUUUUUUAUGACACAUUAUCUCUAUUUGUUCUUGUUGAGCAUGUAAAUGAUGCUUAUUAAACAUUGAAAAUAA